UACGUAGGGUGCAAGCGUUAAUCGGAAUUACUGGGCGUAAAGGGCGCGUAGGCGGCCUGUUAAGUCGGACGUGAAAUCCCUCGGCUCAACCGGGGAACUGCGUCCGAUACUGGCGGGCUUGAAUUCGGGAGAGGGAUGUGGGAUUCCAGGUGUAGCGGUGAAAUGCGUAGAUAUCUGGAGGAACACCGGUGGCGAAGGCGGCAUCCUGGACCGACAUUGACGCUGAGGCGCGAAAGCCAGGGGAGCAAACGGG
rnacentral:rRNA from 1 species